UGCAAUAUUUACAUAUACAAACAUGAUUGAAGUAUAAUAUUAUGCCGUUAUAGAAUCUUUUACAUAGUUAUUUUUCAGAAAUAUGAGGAGGCGCAAUCAUACUUUUCAAACUGUAAAGUGCAGAGGAAAGUAGAGAAGCAAGCUUUAGGAAAUGUAUAUACAGGAUGUCCCAAUUAUCAUUUUGUCGUUAAAAAAAGUCAAAUUGUAUACUGAGCUGAGCUGAACAACUGGUUAGGUCGCAGUAAAUUGUCGAAUACGCUUUUCUAUACCUCGGAAGAGUUGUUUCUGACGAAUCACUAUGUUGAUCAAUGGGUUCUUUGUGAUACGAAUGGUAUCAGUGAUCAUGCUUUUAUAAUGCUAGAAUUACUCGUACUCCACAUUUCUUGAUGCACAUGGACGAUUAGCGUGGAUAUUAACUGUUACUAGAGGAACCAUCAAAUUAGCCGAAUAGUAGACGCGACAGGCCAAAUGCACAACCGGAAACGGAUGCAGUUAAACUAGAAGCCGUGAAUACUUCUCAAUAAUUCAAUUUGCGCAUUCUUGAAUGACUAUACCGCAGUUGCAAAGUGGAGAACGCAGCCACAGGAGUAUAAGUGCGAAUGCAUGUGCAAACAGCGUUCAAGUCGUAAAACGAAUCUCGCCACGCAAAAAGGACUUGAUAUAUACACACGAGGCUUAUAUUUAAUAUUUCCCUUUUCUUGAUUUUACAUAAAUAGACCCGUAUACCCUACCCUAGCAUCCUCACUUUAUAGAUAACCGAAGCGCUGUUGGUAACCAUUCGAUGAGAAGUAAAAUAUUUUACACAUCUUUCUCUCGGUUUAUGGAGCUGUGGGUCGAAGUUUUUAUCCCAACAGCGAGAUAAAUAUCGUUACAAGUUUCUUCGUAAAUCGUUCUGCUUAUCCUAAAACCUGUAUAAUUAAUAUAUUUAUGCGGUCGUCUCGUCGGUUGUCCCUUUUCAGACGGCGAUUCACUAUAAAAAUUCAUUUAUUGGGACUCCGUUCAUCCAAUCUGAUUUUGUCACAGAAACCCGGUCUAUUGAACGCCGUCGAGCAGCUCUUUUUGCAACUACGGAUUCCUACGUAUCCCUUAUAUGUAUAGCAUGGUUCACCUAAAGCCACCUGAACAACAUUUUGUUUAGGGGUGGAACAAUGUCGCAAAAAAUUAAACCGGUUUCCUCCGUAAGUUGUACUUCAUUUUGUCCACUCCAGUAAGCAUAUUAUGCAAUAUUAAACGCUUUUACAUUUAAAGAAGCGAUUAUUCAAUCAAGAACACGAAAUUGAAGAUAUGAAAUUGUGAUAUGUGGGAUACACCAAAUUUUCGUGACGAUUACAGCAUGGACGGUUGGUGGAGCCAGUAAAGCGGCGAGCUACGAAUCUUUUGAAUGCGGUCGACGGUCGAAUGCCGACGAGGAUGGUUUUUUUUCCAUAAAUUUUGCUCUUUCUCAAUUUCUUACUAUGUAACUUAAAAAAUAUUUUCUUAAUGUUUUAAAAAUAUUUUGAGCAAAGGUACAGACGAAAGUAAU